rnacentral:rRNA from 1 species
GUAGUUAGCCGGGGCUUUCUAAUGGGGUACCGUCAUUUUUUCGUCCCCCACAACAGAGGUUUACAAUCCGAAAACCUUCUUCCCUCACGCGGCGUUGCUGGGUCAGGCUUGCGCCCAUUGCCCAAUAUUCCCCACUGCUGCCUCCCGUAGGAGUCUGGACCGUGUCUCAGUUCCAGUGUGGCCGAUCAGCCUCUCAGCUCGGCUACCCAUCGUCGGCUUGGUGGGCUGUUAUCUCACCAACUACCUAAUGGGACGCGAACCCCUCUAAAAGCGAUAAAUCUUUGACCUCUUCCCGAUGCCGGGUUGUGGUCUUAUGCGGUAUUAGCAGUUGUUUCCACCUGUUAUUCCCCACUCUUAGGCAGGUUGUUCACGCGUUACUCACCCGUGCGCCACUAGAAUUAUCAAUUCCAUCCGAAAACUUCCUUAAUAAUCCCCGUUCGACUUGCAUGUGUUAGGCACGCCGCCAGCGUUCGUCCUGAGCACGANACGACCUACGA